AGCCUACUCUAGCCCAAUCACCAAUCCAAACAUUAAUAACAAAAACUCACUCUAAACCACAAACUAAAACAUUCUCUAAACUUAGUAUAGGUGAUAGAAAAGAUAUCCUGGCGCGAUAGAGACCUUGUACCGUAAGGGAAAGAUGAAAUAAUAAUGAAAAACAAAGCAACAAAUAGCAAAGAUUAACCCUUGUACCUUUUGCAUCAUGAUUUAGCAAGAAACAACCAAGCAAAAUGAAUUUAAGCUUGUCACCCCGAAACCCGAGCGAGCUACUUACAAGCAGCUAGUCUAUGAGCGAACCCGUCUCUGUUGCAAAAGAGUGGGAUGACUUGUUAGUAGAGGUGAAAAGCCAACCGAGCCGGGUGAUAGCUGGUUGCCUGUGAAACGAAUCUAAGUUCUCUCUUGACCAUCACCCUCCAGGACAAUUAUAACCUUAAUGGAACAGAUCAAGAACAAUUUAAAGGGGGUACAGCCCCUUUAAAAAAGAAAACAAUCUCUACCAGAGGAUAAUUACAUUCCCCCUAUAAAUUGUGGGCCUUUAAGCAGCCACCAGCAAAGAGUGCGUCACAGCUCCAUCUAAAAAAAUUUAAUAACAAAAUGAUUCCCUCCCCAUUAACAGGCCAAUCUAUUCUUAUAGAAGAAUUAAUGCUAGAAUGAGUAACUAAGGAAUUCCCCUCUCAGGCGCAAACUUACAUCCAACAUUAUUAACAGACCAAACCUAUAUCCUCACUCCUACCAGAUUAAAAUAUUAAACUAUCCUGUUAUACCAACUCAGGAGCGCCCACCAGAAAGAUUAAAAUCUAUAAAAGGAACUAGGCAAACCCAAGGCCCGACUGUUUACCAAAAACAUAGCCUUCAGCCAACCAAGUAUUGAAGGUGAUGCCUGCCCAGUGACACAAUGUUUAACGGCCGCGGUAUCCUAACCGUGCGAAGGUAGCGCAAUCAAUUGUCCCAUAAAUCGAGACUUGUAUGAAUGGCUAAACGAGGUCUUAACUGUCUCUUAUAGAUAAUCAGUGAAAUUGAUCUCCCUGUGCAAAAGCAAGGAUAUAACCAUAAGACGAGAAGACCCUGUGGAACUUAAAAAUCAGUAGCCACUGCUUAUAAACUAUAAACCUAAUAGGCCCACUAGCUAAAAAUGCUGGCUUACAUUUUUUGGUUGGGGCGACCUUGGAGAAAAACCAAUCCUCCAAAAAUAAGACCACACUUCUUAACCAAGAGCAACUCCUCAACGUACUAACAGUAACCAGACCCAAUAUAAUUGAUAAAUGGACCAAGCUACCCCAGGGAUAACAGCGCAAUCUCCUCUAAGAGCUCACAUCGACGAGGAGGUUUACGACCUCGAUGUUGGAUCAGGACAUCCUAAUGGUGCAGCCGCUAUUAAGGGUUCGUUUGUUCAACGAUUAAUAGUCCUACGUGAUCUGAGUUCAGACCGGAGCAAUCCAGGUCGGUUUCUAUCUAUGAUAAACUCUCCCUAGUACGAAAGGACCGGGAAAGUAAGGCCAAUACUACUAGCACGCCUUCUCUUUAAGUAAUGAACUCAACUAAAUUACUAAAAGAUUCCUACCAUUAAACCCUUUAUUCCCUAGAAAAGGGACC
rnacentral:rRNA from 1 species